rnacentral:rRNA from 1 species
GACGAACGCUGGCGGCGUGCUUAACACAUGCAAGUCGAACGGUAAGGCCCUUCGGGGUACACGAGUGGCGAACGGGUGAGUAACACGUGGGUGAUCUGCCCUGCACUUCGGGAUAAGCCUGGGAAACUGGGUCUAAUACCGGAUAGGACCACUGCCUGAAUGGGGGGUGUGGGAAAGCUUUUGCGGUGUGGGGUGGGCGCGCGGCCGAUCAGCUUGUUGGUGGGGUGAUGGCCUACCAAGGCGACGGCGGGUAGCCGGCGUGAGAGGGUGACCGGCCACACUGGGACUGAGAUACGGCCCAGACUCCUACGGGAGGCAGCAGUGGGGAAUAUUGCACAAUGGGCGCAAGCCUGAUGCAGCGACGCCGCGUGAGGGCUGACGGCCUUCGGGUUGUAAACCUCUUUCAGCACCGACGAAGCGCAAGUGACGGUAGGUGCAGAAGAAGGACCGGCCAACUACGUGCCAGCCGCCGCAGUAA